GGCCGUUGGGCUCCCUGAGAGGGAACGCAGCGCGCGGGGUCUCCUCAGGCUAGAGCCCCCCCGACAGACACCUAUAGACCGCAAACAGAAGGAAAAACGCCCAACUCCUCCUCUGUUCAGGCUGCGGCAAACGGUGCCGAGACGAAAGGGGGUGUCUAGAACAAUCCUCUGAAGAAGAAACUCCACCCCGGGCCCAGAACCAAUCUACAUGAGGACAUUAUGCAGCCAAUGUCCUGCGGAAUAGGAGAUUAUACUAUGAGUUGGAAAAGAUGCUGAGAUAAAACCUCCUUUGACCUCUUGAGUGCAAAGGAAAUGUUUAGUGUUCCUAAUCAUCAGUGAUGUGUUUUAUAGCGAUCAUGUCUGCAAAGACUACUGUGCUGGGUGAAAUACAAGCAAAGAGGAAAAAACACAUUUUCUCCACUUUCUUGUUAAAAAAGGUAAGGAGAAGGGCCCUGAACAAUAGUCACUCCUUCCUCUCUUUUGCGGAUGAGGUUAAGGCAGACAGAAAUGAAAGGACUCACCAAGGUUAUGCCACACAGUCAGGAUUUAAACUCAGAACUUCUGAAUUUGACCCCAGUGCC